GUCCGCAUGACGAAGUUGGUUAUCGUGCGAAGCUAAUAUAUAAAACCUAUCUAGGUAUUAAUCGCCCUCUUCGAGUGCACUUCGAAGUCCCAGGUUCGAGCCCUGGUGUGGACA